UACGAAGGGGGCUAGCGUUGUUCGGAAUUACUGGGCGUAAAGGGCGCGUAGGCGGCCUUGUUAGUCGUGUGUGAAAUACCUGGGCUCAACCCGGGAAUUGCGCUCGAUACUGCAAGGCUCGAGUGUGGGAGAGGUUGGUGGAAUUCCCAGUGUAGAGGUGAAAUUCGUAGAUAUUGGGAAGAACACCGGUGGCGAAGGCGGCCAACUGGACCACAACUGACGCUGAGGCGCGAAAGCGUGGGGAGCAAACAGG
rnacentral:rRNA from 1 species